GAUGAACGCUGGCGGCGUGCCUAAUACAUGCAAGUCGAGCGCACGGACGAGAAGCUUGCUUCUCUGAUGUUAGCGGCGGACGGGUGAGUAACACGUGGAUAACCUACCUAUAAGACUGGGAUAACUUCGGGAAACGGUAGCUAAUACCGGAUAAUAUUUUGAACCACAUGGUUCAAGAGUGAAAGACGGUCUUGCUUUACUCUAUGGAUGGAUCGCCGCUGCAUUAGUUAGUUGGGAAGGUAACGGCUUACCAAGGCAACGUUCCAAAGCCGACCGGAGAGGGGGAUCGGCCACACUGGAACUGAGACACGGUCCAGACUCCUACGGGAGGCAGCAGUAGGGAAUCUUGCGCAAUGGGCGAAAGCCUGACGGAGCAACGCCGCGUGAGUGAUGAAGGUCUUCGGAUCGUAAAACUCUGUUAUUAGGGAAGAACAUAUGUGUAAGUAACUGUGCACAUCUUGACGGUACCUAAUCAGAAAGCCACGGCUAACUACGUG
rnacentral:rRNA from 1 species